rnacentral:tRNA from 1 species
GCCCAUGUGGUGAGGCACACCAAAAUGCAAAUUUGGAGACGUACCCUAACAGGUACCGGGGCUUCUCCCGUUUCCCGCAAGACGGGAGAAGC